GACAGAGGGGGCAAGCGUUGUCCGGAUUGACUGGGCGUACAGCGCGCGCAGGCGGCAUGCGACGUGCCCUGUGACAGGCGGGAGCUCAACUCCCGACGGCCAGGGUAGACGCGCAGGCUAGAGGCAGGGAGAGGGCAGUGGAAUACCCGGUGGAGCGGUGAAAUGCGUAGAGAGUCGGGUGGAACACCGAGGGGCGAAGGCG
rnacentral:rRNA from 1 species